ensembl:lncRNA
GCUCAUUACAAGGGCGGGCCCCGUGGGGCCCUGAUGCCUCUCUCCUGGGGGCUGGGAGCUGGGUCAGUGGGCUCCAGCCCCGCCCUCCCUGGGCAGCUGGCUGUCAGAAGGCCCUUCCCCUUCAGAGCCAUCGGCCUGGGGCAGCGCGCGCCCAGCCCUGGAAGUGUGUCAACAGGGCAGAGUCUGCACCCAGUGACCGUGGAGGCCCCUGGGGCCAAGAGGGACCCCUUGAACUUACCCUCAAAACCAGCUCUGGAUCCCCCACCGUCGUGCUCCUUCCCCAGUGCUCUCCCGCUCAGAGAGAGGCACCUCCAGGCCAGUGAAGCCCAAGACCUGGGAAUUCGCUACCUGGAGCCUCCCUCUCUUCACUGUUCCCCUCAACCAAGCACCCCAGUCCUGGCGAGCCCACCUCCUAAAUAGCCCUUGGGGCUACCUUCUUCCUCCUCUCCCCCCGCCACCACCUGUCCAGACCCCCUUGUCUGCCGGGCCACCUGCAGAGGCCCCCUCAGUGGCUCCCUCAGUCUUGUGACCCUGCCCUCUCCCUCUGACUUUGCACACCCCAGGCGAACCCCAGGUUCUCCAGUCCCUGCCCUGCCCUCCAGCCGCAGCCAGGUCUCCGCUGCUGUCUUCUCCGCGCUCCCCCACGGGCCUCCUUUCCGUCCCCCCAGGGCUCCGGGCUGUGCUCACCUCCAGGCCUUUGUCCCUGUCGCCUUGUCAGGGAAGGUCCUCCUCACCCUCCGGCUCCCUGGCAUCUGCAGAGCUCAGCUCCAGGGGCGCUGCCUCAGGGAAGCCCUCGCUGACCCCAAGACGGCUCAAGUCCCCCCGUGAGAAACUCCUAAAAGCACCUGAUCGGGGACCCUUUGCGGUCAUGCAAUUGUUUGAGUUCUUUGCUUAAAGCCCGGGCUAUGAGGCUGGGCUGAGGACAGGGACCAUGCCUGGGUGUCCCCGUGAUGUCCCCCGUGCCUGGCACUUAGGUGAUUAGUCAAUGAUCAUUGAAUGAAUGAAUGAAUGAAUAGACUCUGUUCUAGUGUUUUAUUCCGCCCAGGAUUUUGCCUGGAGGGGGCAGGACACUCAGAACAGCACCAGGAAUCAGGGGUCAGGAGUCAUUUUGAGGGCCAGUGAGUCUCCCAGGCUGAGGCAGCAGAGCAGGAUGGCUGGAUGUGGCCUGGUCUUGUGAAGGUGGGUGGUCAGUGUGGCCACGUGGACAAAAGGAGGGUCCGGGAAGCAGCUUUGGCACAGUCUCUCUGGCAUCGCCCAGGAAGGGGCCUCCAGCAGCUAACACAACCCUCCUGUCUGCUUGGCAGAUAUCCCACGGUAGUGAGACAGCUGUCCAUCCACCCAUCCCAACCUUUGUUGGUAGUGACCGGCCCUGUGUCCCACCCUGGCAGAUGUCCCAGUCCAUUGGGGAAGACAUAUGCCCUCUUACUGUGUGGAGCACUGGGGAGGCCGAGGCAUCUGCAGGAGCACCUAGUGAGUGCCAGACCCCAGGGACCCAGCUCCUGCCCCGAGCACAGACCAAAGCCACGCGGGCUACCUCUGUCGGGGGAGAGAUACAGCGUCCCACUUUACAGAAGAGGAACCUGAGGCCCAGGGGAGGGCGUCAUCUGCAGGCGGCAAAAGGGUCUUGCGAUGAAAUUGGCCCAUUCACAACAACGUGGAUGGACCUCGAGGGUAUUAUGUUAAGCGAAAUAAGCCAGUCAGAGAAAGACAAACUCUAUAUGACUCCACUCAUAGGUGGAAGUUAGUAUAUUGAUAAGGAGAUCUGAUCAGUGGUUACCAG